rnacentral:other from 1 species
AAGUUCCUGAAAUGUUCGACACUCCUGCGAUUUUGAACCUACAGUAGAUAAUAAGGGAUUCCUAUAUCUGCAGGCGGAUGUCAGGCCGCCAUGGUUAGCGGAAGGCAGAAACCUGCAUGCGGAUGCCCACCUAGCGAGAGGCUAGGCGUCAAAAUGCAGGAAACGGCAUUUCGGGGUUUAU